CCCAUCAGAUUGUCACGUGCAAUUCUUUGAUUAUAGUUCAACCGAUUCGUCACUUAUAAUUGGCAAUCGUCAAACAAUUUUAUCGGGAAUGUUUGCUAUUUUGUUAUGUUUGUGUGUUUGCUUGCAAACAAAACAAAUCGGCGAAAUUACUUUCGUGUUUCAUACAGUGCCAGCAAAAUUGCAAUAAAAUAAUGAGCCAUUAACAAAGCCGUUUUAUUAUUUAGCAAAUAAUUGGACCGUUCAGUCAUUAUUUCUUUAGCUCAGAAAAGAGUCAAUUCCACAUCUUACGAUAGUAAAUUAAAUCGACAAAGAAUUAAAACGAAUUCAAAUUUUUUCUAACGAAAACAUGAACGAAACGGAAAGAUAUCAAAAAGUGGAGGAGCUCAGAAAAUACCUGAGAAAUGUUAAUACAUCAACUUAUUGCUCCCGAAUUGAUAUUGCUUACGGACGAGAUAUUCAUGCAACUUCUAUUAAUCGCAGUAAGCCUGUUGAAUAUAAACAACCUGAAUGGAGUCGAAGAUUGAAAAAAUCAACUACGAAAAAGUUCAAGAAAAUUGAACACAAAUUAAAUCGUGCAUUAGAGAUAAAUCAACAAAUGCAAGAGAAAAUUCAAAAUAUAAAACUAAGACAAACGAAGAAACCAACGUAUACAGUAAUUAAUGGAAUUUUUUUCGAAAAUAAGUAAAAAUUGUAGGUUUUAAUGAAAUAAAAAUAAAAAAUCUCUAUUAACAUCAA